rnacentral:lncRNA from 10 species
UUGAACAGGUUGAUACAUCUAGGAGUGAAAUACAUCACCGCUUUCCCUGCUCCCGCCGCCAUUAAAAUUGUGUUUGGCAUCUGACCACCAAGAUACAGAUAUUUCCUAGACUGUUUUGCAGCUAGGUACUUAGAAGUUUUUCUAAGUUAUUUAAACUUCUCACCACACAAAAUCUGGAUUUGUAUCUGUCACGUAGUAAUUGCUUGAUAAAUCAUUUCUCUUUCCUCUGGAGAAAAAUAUCUGCUUUCUUUAAAAUAAAUGUUCCAUCCAUGCAGCUAAGCAGCUAAGGACACGAACAGCCACUGAUACAGGCCAACUCAUCAGUAGAUUAUUGAGGAAUCAUUCUCUUCAGUCAGAUCACGAUUUGAGUUUGAACUAACCAGAGAGUAGCAGAAGGAACGUUUUCUCAUUUCCAUGUCCAGAAAGAUAUAUUCCUGCUACCCUCCUGAAGUCAGAGGAUGAAAUCAUAGUCAAUACAUCUUUGCAGAUAAACUAUUAGAUUUCAUACUAGGACCUUUCAUUGGCUGAACAAAGACAAAGACAGAAAUCAAGGAAGGUCAAAGAAGCAGUCAGUUUUCUGGCACCCAAAGUUGUUGGAGAAGGGUACAGAGUCGGUAAAUAAGUCAUAUGACAGACAGGCAGUAUUUUCUUAUUUUAAUAACAAGUUUAAAAAUCCCACUUCUUGUACUUACCUUCUGUCUGACGUCAUCAGUAUUUUAAAAUGCCAACUGGGAUCAAGUUCAACACUGCAUUACUGAAGAAUCCAGAUUAUCUACAUUUCAAGUGCCAAAUGAAAGAAAGAACCCAGAAAAUAAAAC